GAUAUUAGGAAAAAUUUCUUCACUGAAAGGGUGGUCAGGGUUUGGGACAGGCUGCCCAGGGAAGUAGUGGAAUCACCAUCUGUGGAGGUAUUUAAAAGAUGGGUAGUUGUGGCCCUUGGGUACGUGGUUUAGUGGUGGGCUUGGCAGUGCUGGGGGAACGGUUGGACUCAAUUGAUCUUAGAGAUCUUUUCCAACCUAAACAAUUCUGUGUUCCCCUUCCUCUUCUGGAUGGCUGUAUCCAUGAGACCCUGCAAGGAACCCAGACUGAUCUUUGACCAUCGCAAGCCAGAAGCUGGGCUAGCAGCUGAGAGGAAACCUCUUUCACACCAUUCUCUAGAGGAGCUGUGGGAAUGCACAGUGUGCUUUUAACACGCGCCCUCGGCCCAGUGCAAUAACCUCCCCUGGCCCGUGGCUGUCCUGGCCUUGGGCUGUCAGCAAGGCAGAGAGGAUCCUGCUGUGGGACAGCCUCCUGAUUUCAAGAACCAUGUAGCAAAUAUCCAGUGGAAGAGCCAAUUGGGACGUCAGCCCGUGGUGUGCCAGGCCUGUUACAGUGCUGAAGGCUGACAGGGAGACGUGUUUUCCUUUUCCCUGGGAAUAACCUGUUAUGAAACUCUGAGUUUCUUCAAGCUCCCCGUUAUGCCUAUAUCAUUCCUCCAUAAAUCUCUCAGUCUAAUACAGAGGAAAAUUUUUUUAUUGUCUGUAUAUAUUAUAUAUAAAUUAAAAAAAUAUAUAAAUUAUAUCUAUACA